UACGUAGGGUGCGAGCGUUGUCCGGAAUUAUUGGGCGUAAAGAGCUCGUAGGCGGUGUGUCACGUCGGCCGUGAAAACCUGCAGCUUAACUGUGGGCGUGCGGUCGAUACGGGCAUCACUGGAGUUCGGCAGGGGAGACUGGAAUUCCUGGUGUAGCGGUGCAAUGCGCAGAUAUCAGGAGGAACACCGGUGGCGAAGGCGGGUCUCUGGGCCGAUACUGACGCUGAGGAGCGAAAGCGUGGGGAGCAAACAGG
rnacentral:rRNA from 1 species